AGUGAACGCUGGCGGCGUGCUUAACACAUGCAAGUCGAACGAGAACGGAAUAUAGCUUGCUAUAUUUGUCAGCUAAGUGGCGCACGGGUGAGUAAUGUAUAAAUAACCUGCCCUUAAGAAAGGAAUAACAGUUGGAAACGACUGCUAAUGCCCUAUAUGCCUUUAAUACAUAAGUAUGCAAGGGAAACGCUUUAGUGCUUAAGGAUGGGUCUGUAUGGUAUCAGCUUGUUGGUGAGGUAAUGGCUCACCAAGGCUAUGACGCCUAACUGGUUUGAGAGGAUGAUCAGUCACACUGGAACUGAGACACGGUCCAGACUCCUACGGGAGGCAGCAGUGGGGAGUAUUGCACAAUGGACGAAAGUUUGAUGCAGCAACGCCGCGUGGAGGAUGACACAUUUCGGUGCGUAAACUCCUUUUAUAUAGGAAGAUAAUGACGGUACUAUAUGAAUAAGCACCGGCUAACUCCGUGCCAGCCGCCGCCGUAACAC
rnacentral:rRNA from 1 species